GCCCGCAUAGCUCAGGGGUAGAGCGUAUCACUAGUAACAAUUCUGGAUCAUGAUAAGGUCAUCAGUUCAAUUCUGAUUGUGGGCA